UUUGGCUUCAUGAAUCGGGGCAAAAUGGCCCCUAUGAGUAAAAUACUUGUCUUUUUGUGAAAGUAAAUGCAUAUUCAUACUAGAUAGAAUUAUUAUGAAUUUUGAAACACUUAAAAUGCAUGCCUUAUGUAUCACAAAAAUUUCACUAUACAGUAGAGCUAUAUGAGUAGACUGCAUGCAUGUGGAAAAGUGUUUACAUUUGCAAGUUGAUAACAUAUCUCUUACGAAGAUAAUGACUUGAAAUAUGUACCUUGGAACGUACGUAUUAUGCUUGGACAAAGAGGACAAAGUGUCAUAAAGGGGCACUCGAAACUAGCAAACUAUGAAACUGCAACAUAGAGACAUAUUGAUAGGCCAUUGUACAUCUGCUAUAAUCUAUGUUAGAGACAUGAUGACAUAGGGAUAGGCCAUUGAGAUAUUUGUUAUAUUCCAUGUUUUUAGACAUGAGGACUUGGUACUUGAGACAGAUCAUUGCUUGCUUGCCAUUGUGCUCAUUCGCACAUGCUUGUGAGGGUCGCUCCCUACAAGCCGGCACUCCGGAGAUAGCCAUCGCGACAUAUGCUCGCCGUAAGGGAUUGGGCGCCGAAAUGGGAUGCCGUGGGGGAGGCUCAUUCCUAGAGUGGGGAUGUUGACUACCACGGGGCCAUUAGGCACGGCGUAGGCCAGACAGCCUUCGGGUGGGUCUUAUAUGAUUGGAACUUAGUGACGUGCUAUGUGAACUUUAAAACUAUUAAAGUGUCAAGUGGACUUGGACUAGAAUAGUAAACAAUGACAUUUUACUAUUUAGCUUGUGGACAUCAUGAUAGUUGUAGACUUAUACUUCAUGUACAGUUGCUUUUAUACUUAUGCCAUCCAUGCUAAGUAGAGAUAUCAUGUCGUAGUAAGUUACAUUUUUACUUACUUUUCGCUUUACUGCCUUAUUGUUACUCACCCUUUUCUUUUCAGUUUUUGGGCCUAGUGGUGCAUUCACUGAAGCCAGUAAUUGCCCACUGGAAACUAUUAUUUAAUAGUUCUCACGCCCUCUGUUUUAUGUUUCCCUUUCAGAGCCCUCUGCACCGGCGGAGGCACGGGACCGCGGCAAGGGGAUCGCUAGCUAGAUAGCGAGGAUUCACUUUUACUCUUAGGUGGUUUUCCCUCUUUUUAUGUUUUGGGAGAGCGAGGGAUUUUGUUUACCAUGUAUAGAGACCGCCUAUGUACUCUUUUAGUUCUUGUAUUUGGGAUUUCUCUUUGUAUUACUUUACAAUUUUACUUAGUGGAUUAUCGCUUAUGUUCUUUCCUCUAUUGUAGAACUUAGUCAUUUAUUAUGCUCUGAUACUCCUAGAUGUCUUUUAUUAUUGCUUUAUUCAUCGUUGUUUUUAGACGCCUUAUAUGUUUUAGACGUAUGGCGGGUCUGUGCACGUGCCGGGCGGGUUUCCGCUGUGCCCCGGGGCGUGACAGAUUAAUUUGGUAUCAGAGCCUAGGGUUGAGUCUUAGUGGACCUAGCAAACCUUAGGCCGGUUGGACUAUAGGAAAUAGGCUCGUGAGAGAUGAGGUCUAUUCGACUUGUAAGUGAAAGUAUCUUGAUUGGGUAUCUUUGAUAACUCUAGAAAGUGGAGUUAAAUUGAAGUGUAUAGCUCCUAACUUCGCGGAGGGUUACGUUGGCGGCCAACAACGUAACAUCGGGAGUUAGUGGUGAAGAAUACUUCCUUACUUUCGCAUGAUUUGGGUAUUGUCUAUUUGAGCGGGGAUGCGAUAGCAUGAGCUUUACUAACUUGCGCUUUUAUGAUGUUGUAGUGCGAUGCCGAUUACACGCUCUCAAUCCGCUGGAGUUGAUACUGCGGCAAACCUGGAGGAGGUCGAGACCUCCGCUACCUCCGGAUUCGGCAAGGUCCGCGAGUUGAGGGGCCAGCUUGCGGCCCUCACUGAUAUGGUGACCCAGCAAACUGAGGCGGCGCGCCGACAGGAGGCGCGGAUGAAGCGCCUCGAGGACCUUCUUCUGCAGCAGGCGGCAGCUUCUAGGGAGACUCAGGCCCCUACACCGCCAGCACCAGUUGUGGACAUCGCGCCGAGAGCGCCGUCCCCUGCGCCUAGUUCGUCGCGUGCAGCGCCCGUAGCCGCGCCUUAGGAGGAGGGUUUGGCGGCGCCACCUGUUCGGGCACCCCCGAUUGGAGCAGCAUUCCCUACAUUGGUCGAGGGGGCGGAGCGAGAUAGACUGAUGGAGCGCCUCAAUGAGUUUAGGAGGUGCAGCCCCCGAGUAUUCGACGGCGAGAAGGUCGACCACUGGAUCGUGGAGAAGUGGUUGAUGCAUAUGGAGAAGCUCUUCCGCGACACCUUCGUGGAGGAGAGGGACAGAGUUUGGCUUGCCACUCACCACUUGGACGGCGAGGCUUACCGCUGGUGGUUGGAUCUCCAGGAGUACCCCAGCACUGACUUGGCGGCUAUUACUUGGACGAGGUUCAAGGAACUUCUGUUGGUGCACUACUUCCCGACUAGUGUCAAGCGGAAGAUGGAGCAGGACUUGCGCAACUUGCGCCAAGGUGAUCGUACCGUAGCCGAGUACGAGAGGGAGUUCUCUCGGCUUUUGCACUGCGUGCCCUUUGUCGUGCGGGACGACGAGGACAAGGCCCGUAUCUUCGAGCGAGGAUUGCGACCUUCGAUCUACCGGUUUGUGCAAUCCUCCAACCUCCAAACCUACCGGGAGGUGGUGGAUCGCGCGCUUAUCGUGGAGAGCGGCGCGGCAGAGGUACAGGAGCGGCGUGAGGCCAUGGACAAAGGCAAGGCCAAGAGGCCUGCGGCUGAGGGUGCGAGCCAGACGCACUCUAGGAGGCCGCCGAAGCAUCCGAAGAGCCAGCAGCGUGGACGCGGCUCAGCAGCACAGCGAGGGGGUUAUGACCGACGCCGGCCCUCCCCGUGUGUGAUCUGUGGUGGACCUCAUCACCCACCGCAGUGUCCACAGUGGGCGGGCAGGUGCUUCCAGUGUGGCCAGGGAGGGCCACGUGCGGACUGAGUGCCCGAGGGGUUCUUCACCGGCACCGUCGACUGCAUCGGCACCGACUCUACCAGCCGCCAGCCACGGGACUCCAUCGGCGCAGUACCAGCCUGGGCGGCCAUCCGUCCAACGGCAGAGCGAGGGUUUUCGACAGGCCCCGAGCGGGCGCAUGUAUGCCGCUCAGACCGAGGAGGCGGCAGCAGCCGAGGAUGUGGUCGCAGGUAUCAUUUUACUUGAUGGCAUUAAAGUUCGUGCAUUAUUUGAUACCGGUGCAUCACAUUCAUUCAUAGAUCGGCUAUUUGCCGAGUUGCAUGGCAUCCCGUUAGUUUCCUUAUUGCAUCCGGGACAUGUUGUAGUACCCGACCACGUUUUGGAUAUUAAAGAGUAUAGCCCCAGUUGCCCUAUUCGGGUGGGAGAUUGGGUUAUGCCCGUGGAUUUGCUAGCUCUGCGUAAGCUAGGGGACUUCGAUGUGGUCUUAGGCAUGGAUUGGUUAACCAAGUAUGAUGCCACGAUUGAUUGCAAGAAUCGCACGGUUACUUUUAGAGAACCGGGACAAGUUGAGAUGAUAUUUAGAGGAUGCCAGAGUUCGCUUUUUGCGAUGACGAUCAGCUCGUCUCGAGCCAGGCAGCUGAUCAGCAGAGGUUGUGUAGCCUACUUGGCUAGUGUUGUGUUGAGGGGCGAGGGUGAUACCCCUAGGAUUGAGGAUAUCCCGGUGGUGCGGGAGUUUUGUGACGUGUUUCCAGCUGAGCUACCGGGUAUGCCACCCGAUAGGGAGAUCGAGUUUGUGGUAGAUCUCGUCCCUGGGACUACUCCAAUCUCGAAAGCGCCCUAUAGGAUGGCACCGGCGGAGCUGAAGGAGCUGAGGGCACAGCUGCAGGAUCUUCUGGAUAAAGGCUUCAUUCGACCGAGCGUCUCGCCUUGGGGGACACCCUUUUUAUUCGUCAAAAAGAAAGACGGAUCGCUACGCCUAUGUGUGGACUAUCGUGAACUUCAUAAAGUCACGAUCAAGAAUAAGUAUCCGUUGCCGAGGAUCGACGACCUGUUUGAUCAGCUACAGGGAUCGUGUGUGUAUUCCAAGAUAGACUUGCAGUCGGGAUACCACCAAUUGAAGAUCAAAUCCGAGGAUGUAUCGAAGAUGGCUUUUAGAACACGGUAUGGACAUUAUGAGUUUACUGUUAUGCCGUUUGGGCUUACUAACGCCCCGGCAGCUUUUAUGGAUCUAAUGAACCGUGUUUUCAAGCCUUAUCUAGACAGGUUCGUCGUGGUGUUUAUCGACGACAUUUUGGUCUACUCCCGAAGUGAUGUGGAUCACGAGGAACACUUAAGGAUUGUGCUUCAAGUACUUCGAGAAAAGGAGCUUUAUGCCAAGUUGAAGAAAUGUGAAUUUUGGCUUCGAGAGGUAGCCUUCCUUGGACACUUGAUUUCAAGGUCAGGUAUAGCCGUGGAUCCCAAGAAGAUUGAAGCAAUCAAGGAUUGGCCGAGACCGACGAGCGUCACGGAGAUACGGAGUUUCCUUGGAUUUGCCGGCUACUACUAGAGAUUUGUUGAGGGAUUUGCUAAGUUAUCUACUCCCCUCACGAGGCUCACGUAUAAAGGAGUCAAGUUUAUUUGGAAUGAUGCGUGCAAGAGAAGCUUCCAAGAGUUGAAGCAGAGAUUGACGACCGCCCCGAUCUUGACCCUACCAGUAGCUGGAGCAGGGUAUGUGGUUUAUAGUGAUGCUUCACUUAAUGGAUUGGGCUGUGUAUUUGUAACAUACCACGUCCCUCGUAAAUCGUGCCGAGUUCCGUCGAAAUGAGCGGAACCCGGAGUGGAGCGAGUUAGCAUGGACCCUAGGAGCAUUAGAGUCCAUAAAUGGAGCUAAAGGGACCCGAGAGAGCAAAUCUGAAAAUCUGGCUAAGUCCCAGAUUUCGAGCUCUCGGGGACCGGUCCCUGAAGGAGAGACCGGUCCCCGUACGCGUAGCCUGCCAGGAAGUCCUGAGGCAACCGGUCCCUGGUGGUGAGACCGGUCCUCGGGAGACCGGUCCUGGAGAGGCAGACCGGUCCCUCACUGCGCAGCAGCUGAAAAACCCGAAAAUUUGGCUAAGUCCUGAAAACCCCACGUUCGGGAACCGGUCCCUGGUCGGGGAGACCGGUCCCCGAAAGCGAAAAAUGCCCAGUCUGGGCAGAUCAUGGGAAAUAAGUGGAGGGGCUUAAGUGCAAUUGUUAUAACACUUUAUAUGGGCCAUCCCCUCUCUCCCACAGCCAUUUCCCUCCUCCUCUCUCAUUUUCUCUCUUUUUCUCUCUAGAACUCCUCUAGAACUUGGAGAAGAAGAAGAAGAACUUGGAGAAGAAGGUGGAUUUGGUGUUUUGGAGGUUCUAGGAGCUCUCCAACAAGAAGAGUCUUGGUGGAGCUUGGACUAGAGGUGAGUUCUUGCAAGACUUCCUCUAGGGUUUGGGUUUUAACCUAAGGAUUUGGAGCUUUGUGCUCCUUAGAGGCUUUAGAGGCUCUUUUGAGCCAUGGAUGCCAUGGUACACAUGAGAGCUCAAGGUGCUCUCAUGGUGAAUCCUUGGAAGUUGAGUUAGAAGCCCUAGGGAUGGUUCUAAAGGUUUAGAAACCUUAAUAGAGAGCUUCUUAUGUGAUCCUAAGCUAUCUUUUGCUUAGUAACAAGAUCAAUCCAAGAGAAAACCCUAGGUGACAUUGUUAGGGCUUGGAAAUUAGGGCUUUUGCCCUAGGAUUUUUCGGGGACGAAUUGACCCCGUAGAAACCUAAUUGGGGGUGCCCUAAACGCGUGGGACAACUCCGUUUGACAUUACGAAAAUGUUAUAAUAUAGUUCAUGUACAAAAGGCCUAAUAUGGCACUAUUUUGGUUAUAGGGCGCGGAAUCGGCUUUCGUAAAGUUCGGGGGUCGUCACAUUCCACACCCACACGAUUAUUAGAGGUGGGGGGUGCACGCCGGAAUCGUUGGAUUCCCUUCUAUGUCUGUUUCACUUUUGUUGAGCAUUUUAUUAUAUAGCCAUUCAUGCAUAGUAGGGAAAUCUUACAUGUGACUAGAGACUAGAAUUUCAAUAUUAUGCUUCUUAUGUAGAUGGAUAUAGUGAUUGAACAAGAACCGAAAUGGACAUGUAUGAUUGAACCCGAGAGAUGUGUGAAUGUGAGACUUGGACUUGACCAUAGUAAACAAAGGUGACAUUGACUAUAGAGACAAGAUUGCCAUUGACGAAAAUGACCAGAAAGUGACAUGAACAAAUAGGUAGGAANCGGGAUCGCGGCAAGGGUGUCGCAUAGCUAGCUCGCGGAGAGUUCUUUUGCCUAGGUGGUUUACUCCUCCAUUUUAUAUUUUGAGAGAGUGUGAGGCUUUUGUAUCCAUGUAUAGAGACCACCUGUGUACCUACCUAUAGCACUUGUAUUUGGGAUCCCCAUUGUACUUACUUUAUGUUUUGUUUAGUGGAUUUACAGUUUUAACUUUAUCCCUUGUUGUAGCAUUUAGACUUUUAUUAUGCUCUGAUACUACUAGAUGUCUUGUAUUAUUGCUUUUAUUAUUGUUGUUUUUAGACGCCUUAUAUGUUGUAGACAUAUGGCGGGUCUGGGCACGCGCCGGGCGGGCUUCCGCUGGGUCCCGGGGCGUGACAAACACCCCCAUCGCCUCCGCCUCCAGAUCCGAAUCCCCCCUUCCUCGAACGUGAUCUCCACCAUCGCCGACCUCAUCUCCCGCGUCGCCAUUGCCGCGCGGUUCUUCUCCGACUCCCGCGCCAGCUCCAGGAGCCGCCGCACCACUGCAACCCUCGCCGCCACCGAUGAUGACGACGAUGACGCGGGUUUGGCCUCGGAAAGUAGGAGGUGGAGGAGGGAGGGGUCGGCAGGUUGCUUAGGGGUGGGGAUGUGCUAGCCGAGGGGGAGGGGUAGGGGCGAGGAAGGUCUGGAGUCGGCGCUGGGAGGUGUCCAUCUCCGGCAGGAAGAAGAAAAAGAAGAGGAGAAAAAAAAACAAGAAAAGAAAUAGUGCAAAUUUUUUCUAAAUGGUGCAAUCUUGGCCAAAAGAGUGUAAAGUCUAUUUUAAAAGAAUGCAAUUUCUAUAUGAAAUAGUGCAAUUUUCAUUAAAACAGAGCAAUUUUUUUUUAAAACAGUGUAAAUUUUUUUUGAGAGUGCAAUUUCAUCAUCUUCUUUCUUCUCCUAUAUUUUUUAAUCUUUUCUGUAGGAAAAAAGUAAUUUUUUUUAUUUUUUAUUAUUCUUAUUUUUUUCUAUAAUUUUUUUUUAUCACCACCUCUCCCUUACUUUCUAUCGCAAUCAUCACGACGUCGUCAGUGGCGAUCUCGCCGCCUCCGACGAUGUCUCGGCGUUUCGAUGCGAGGUGGAGGAGAAGAGCCUGCGUCUCGACGUCACCGUGCCCUAGUUGAGAAGAAAGGUAGCGACGCGGCUUCAGCAGGGUCGGAGGCAAGGAGGACUGGAGUGCACGGGGCGGAGGCUAGGCGGGCUGUUCCCGCCUCCGCCUCCGCUGCCUUCUUCGGAGAGAGAAAAAAAGAACGAGAGAAAAAAAAAAAGGAGGAGAGAGAAAAAAUAAUAAGAGUAUUUUGGUCAGUUUGCUGAAAUUUCGGCCUGAAUCUGCAAAAUCGAAAAAAGUGGUCCACUUUUGCAAAAGUCCAAAAUUAGUGAAUUUUUAUGCAAAUUGGCCUUUAAACUUAGGUUAAAUUAUAGAAAAUUUUUCUGUAAAUAUUCGCUUUUUUACUUUUCCUUCAUGACUAUUAAAAAAUCUAUAUGUUGCUUCUUUAAAAUUUCAGAAAUAUUUUCAGAAGGGUACGGCAUUAAUGGAGAGGACAGAAUGACCAAAUUACCCAUACUUCUUUUAUAAGAAGAAAUAACAUUUGUUAAUAUAAUUAUGUUAUUUUGAAGGAUAUUUUUUGUAUAAAUUAUAAAAAAUAGACAGAAUAAUGAUGGAAUCCUANAGCUUUCGCUUCUGUUGUUGCUUGCCCUCGUGCAAGCCUUGUAUAAAUGCUAAUCUCAUUGUUUGAUUGCUUUACUAUACAUGGUUUAGAGCCUUGGACGGGCAGGGGAGGCUCUGUCCGUUCGGCGUCUGUUGGCGUGACCCGAACCCGACCAAAUUGGCGGGGAUUGGGGCGUGACAGUAUUGAUGCAGGAUGGCAAGGUGAUCGCGUAUGCUUCUCGCCAACUGAAGGAAUAUGAAAGGAACUACCCGACGCAUGAUUUGGAGUUGGCUGCCGUGGUGUUCGCAUUGAAGCUAUGGCGCCACUAUCUUUAUGGCGAGCGGUGUGAAGUUUAUACGGAUCACAAGAGCUUGAAAUACCUGUUUACUCAGAAGGAGUUGAACUUAAGGCAGCGCAGAUGGUUGGAGCUACUCAAGGAUUAUGAUCUUACUAUUCUUUACCACACGGGCAAGGCUAACGUGGUGGCGGAUGCGCUAAGUAGGAAAUCGACAGAAAACAUAGCGAUGUUUGUGGUGACCCAACCGCAGUUGAUCGAGCAGAUGAAGCCGUUGGAGUUGGAGGUAGUGACUCCGGAUACACCUUUGAGGUUGAUGACCUUGGUUGUGCAACCUACACUUUUGGAUCGAAUUAAAGAGAAGUAAGCUUCCGAUUUGGAGUUGCAAAAGAUUAAAGGUAAAAUGGUUGAUGGUUGCACCGGUGACUUCUUAGUGGAUGACCGAGGGUUGAUGCGAUUCCGUGGACGGCUAUGUGUACCGGCGGAUGCGGGAAUCAAAGAGGAUAUUCUUCAAGAAGCGCACCGAGCGCCCUAUGCUAUACAUCCGGGAGGUACCAAGAUGUACAAAGACUUGAAGUUGCUUUAUUGGUGGUCCGGGAUGAAAAAGGAUGUUGGCGAGUUUGUAGCUCGUUGUUUAACUUGCCAACAAGUAAAGGCUGAGCACCGAGUUCCCGCGAAAAAACUUCAGAGUUUGCCUAUUCCCGUGUGGAAGUGGGAGAAGAUCACCAUGGACUUUGUGACUGGAUUGCCUCGCUCACAGGCUGGGCAUGAUGCUAUUUGGGUGAUCGUGGAUAGGUUGACGAAGUCGGCGCACUUCAUACCUAUUCAUACGACUUGGACCGGAGAGAAGCUCGCACAAGUGUACCUUGAUGAGAUUGUGCGACUUCAUGGAGUGCCUACGACGAUAGUAUCAGAUCGAGACACUCGGUUUGUGUCUCACUUUUGGAGGAGUCUGCAUGAUGCCUUGGGCACUCGUUUGGAUUUUAGCACUGCUUUCCACCCUCAGAGUGACGGGCAGUCGGAGCGCACCAUUUAGACUUUAGAGGAUAUGCUCCGAGCAUGUGUGAUAGACUUCCGGGGAGGAUAGUCGCAGCAUCUACCCAUGGCGGAGUUUGCUUAUAACAAUAGUUAUCAAGCAAGCAUCAUGAUGGCACCGUUCGAGGCACUGUAUGGACGGAAGUGUAGAUCGCCACUUCAUUGGAGUGAAGUUGGCGAGAGAUUGGCUCUGGGACCAGAUGUGCUCCAGGAAGUCGAGGAUAAAGUUCGAAUUGCUCGGGAGCGACUUUUGACGGCACAGAGUAGACAGAGGAGCUACGCCGACCGACGGCGGCGAGACUUAGAGUUCCAAGUUGGAGACCAUGUUUUCUUGAAGGUCUCGCCGACUAGAGGAAUCAAGAGAUUCGGGAUUCGGGAAAAGUUAAGCCCCCGUUUCAUUGGACCGUAUGAGGUUUUGGAGCGUGUAGGCCCGGUAGCGUAUCAACUUGCCCUACCGCCGAAUCUAUCGGGCGUACACAAUGUCUUUCAUGUAUCGGUCCUUCGGAGGUACAUACAUGACCCAACUCACGUUUUGGAGGCCAUACCAGUGGAGCUGCAUGAUGAUUUGAGCUUUGAGGAGCAACCCUUGAGAAUUUUGGCUCGCGAGGUGAAGAGAUUGCGGAACCGUGAGAUUCCCUACGUGAAGGUACUUUGGAGCAACCACGACGAGCGCGAGGCCACUUGGGAAUUGGAGAGCGCACUGCGGGAGCGCUAUCCCCAUCUUUUUCAGAUGGAGGUUUGAGGUACGUUGCUUUCGAGUUUCGCGGACGAAACUCUUUUUUAGGAGNGAUGAAUAUAAGCACAUAUGAGAUAAGAUUUGCCCCCGCUUGUAUUCUUCGCCUACAAGAAAGAGCUUCCAUCCAAAAAUUCUCUUUUCUUAAAACAAAUACCCUGACUAAAUUCUUUAUCUAAGUUGUACGUUUACAAACAAAACAAAACGAAAAAUAAAUAACAAAAUUCAAUCCGAUUUCAUUUAUUCCAACCGAAAGUAAGUUCGAUGCUAUCGUGAUUUCGUACCAAUCGGAGUAUAAGUACAUGCCGACCAAAGCUAAUCAGACACAAAGAUCCAUUAAUGACUUAGAAUGCACUAAUUAUAUUGCUGAUGUGGCGUUCUCAACCAAUGCAAUUAUUUUUUUGGAAUUCAUCAAUUCCAUCGUGUUUAUCAGAAAAAUAUUUUUAUUUUACCUUUUUCUCAAAGAAAAAGAUAUAAUUGGUUGGUUAUUGAUGAUAUAGUGUAAGUGUGACACAGUAAAUUUUCUGAUCCUUAAAUUCUUUCGUGAGAUCGCCGCUCUUCCACCAUCACUGUCGCUCCGCUCCUGCUCCCCCACCCCUUCACCCAAGCCCGCCGCUCCCCUCACUUGGUCUCACGACCUGACCAACGUGUCCUAACUUUGAAUCGUAAGCACUAACUAUUCCAAAAAUAUGGACUGAUACGACGGCGCAUUCAUCGCACUUAAGGCUUGACCACAACACUCACAGACUUCACAGACUUCGAUCCUGACUCAACUCAUAUGAACAUUAUGUCUAUUAUAAGGCCUCUUGUCGUUAGGUUUAUUAUAAACCGCAAUCACACUUAAAUUAUUAGACUAACCCAACUCAAAUAUUAGCUUCCUGAGCCUACUAUCAUGGAACAAAAAAUUAAGCAUAUUUUAGGCUAUAAUAAACAUAGUUAAUUCGUGAAUUAUUCGCGAUUUAUUGAAAAAACCGAAUAAACCGGUCUGUACACGAUUUAUUUCCAAAAGAUCGAAAUAAUACGUGAAUUUUUGGGUUAGAUUUAUUAUUUGCGAAUAAUUUGCGUAUAUCGAACUAUUCGGCCAAAAAAAUGCACAAAUUUUUGGGAUAAAAUUCCUUUCUGAAUUAUCGCCGGAUUAUUCGCGAAUUAUUGAAAAACUUCAUGACCUUCUGAAAUAUUGGAUCAUGAAAAAGAUGAAGAUGAAGACGAUAAUAAAAUUUGCUAUUAUUUUUUUUUACUUAAUCUAUUUUAUUUUAGGCCAAUUUGCAUAAAGAAUUCAUAAAUUUUAAGCUUUUGCAAAACUGGACCGUCUUUUUUGAUUUUGCAGAUUCGAUCCGAAUUUUCAGCAAACUGACCAAAAUAUCCUUAUUACUUUUUCACUCUCCUCUUUCUCUCUCCUCUUUUUUUCUCUCGUUCAUUUUUUUUCUAUCGCCGAAGAAAGUAGCGGAGGCAGAGGCGGAAGCAGAAAUGGCCCACCUCGCCUCUCACCCUCUCGCCCUCACCCUUGCCCUUGCCCUCGCCCGCGCACCCCCCACCUUCCUCGCCUCCAACCCAACCAAGGCCAUGCCACGACUUUUUUUUUUUCCCUCUCCGACUCUCCUCCACCGUCUCCAACAACGACGCCUCUCUCGCCCUUCCUAGCCCUUCUUGUCCUCUCCCUCUCCCUCCUCCUGUGCCGCCUUCGACGACGACGCAUCAUCGCCGACGCCGACACCAUGGAGGUCGCUGCGGCACUGCAGCCUCGAAGCGGGGGUCUUUAGCGGCGUCGUUGCCGGCGCCGUAGCCGUUGGCAGAGAAGGGUGACAAAAAAAAAUUACAGAAGAAGCAAGAAAAAAAAAAUAAAGAUAAAAAAUUAUAGAAAAAGAAAGAUGAAGAUGAAAUUUCACCAUUAAAAUAAAAUUGUACUGUUUUAAAAAACGUUGCACUAUUAUGAACAUAAGUUGUACUACUUAAGAUGUAAACUACAGUUUUAAGAUAAAAAUUACACUCUUUAAAUAAAAAUUACACUCUUUGAGAGAUAUUUACACUGUUUCUCCUCUUAUUGCACUCUUUCAGAUGUAAACUGCAUCCAUUAAGAUGAAAAUUACACUCUUUAAAUGAAAGUUGCACUCUUUGAGAGAUAUUUAUACUGUUUCUCCUCUUCUUACAUUCUUUGAUAUGUAAACUGUAUCCUUUUAAGAGAUAUUUAUACUGUUUCUCUUCUUGUCAACUAUUUCUCCUCUUGUUACACUAUUUUUUCUCUUAAAGGGUACAGUUUAAGAGAAAAAAUAGUAUAACAAGAGAAAAAAUAGUGCAACAAGAAGAUAAACAGUGCAACAAGAGAAGAAACAGUAUAAAUAUCUCCUAAAGGGGUGCAGUUUACAUCUUAAAGAGUAGAACAAGAGGAGAAACAUUGUAAAUAUCUCUCAUGGAGUGCAACUUUCGUUUAAAGAGUGUAACUUUCAUCUUAAUGGAUACAAUUUACAUCUGAAAGAUGCAAUAAGAGAAAAAACAGUGUAAAUAUCUCCCAAGGAAUGUAAUUUUCGUUUAAAGAGUGUAAUUUUCAUUUUAAAGCUGCAGUUUACAUGUUAAUAGUACAACGUUCUUUCAAAACAGUGCAAUUUUAUUUUAACGGUGCAAUUUCAUCUUCAUUUUUUUUCUAUAAUUUUUUAUUUUUAUUUUUUUUCUUGCUUCUUCUAUAAUUUUUUUUUGUCACCCUUCUCUGCCAGCGCCGGCGACGACGCUGCUAAGGACCCCACACUCCGAGGCUACAGCGCCACAGCGACCUCCACGGUGUCGGCGUCGGCGAAGAUGUGCUUUCGUCGAAGGCGACAAAGAAUGAAGGAAAGGGAGAGAACGAGAAGGGCGAGGAAGGACGAGAAAGGCGUCGUCGUCGGAGACGGUGGAGGAGAGUCGGAGAGGGAAAAAAAAAAAAGUUGCAGCGCGGCCUCGGCGGGGUCGGAGGCGAGGAAGGCGGGUGGUGCACGGGAGAGGGCGAGGGCGAGGGCAAAGGCGAGAGCAUGACGGNGAUAGGAAGGAGAAGAAGAAGGAGAUCAAGAGGAAGGCUUGGAGCACCUCCAUCUCCCUCUCCUCUUCCCAUUGGUGUAGCUCUUGAGGUAAGCUACUAAACCCUAGCUUUGUAAACUUAGGGUUUUGGGUUUUUAUGCUUUGGAAUGGGCCAAAUGGACUCUAGGCAAGCUUCUAAAUAGAUCAAUCCCAUGAUUCUAGGGUUUUAUCGGUGGGUUGCUAUAUGUGCAACCUAGGGCUCCAAAUGGGGGCAUUUUGUAAAGUGUGAGAUUGAUCUCAUUUGAGGCUUUGUAAACCUCAUCGAUAGGUGCCCAAACGCGGGGGCGAAGUCGAUUUCGCGAUUCGUCGAGCGAGCUUGGAUGUAAGGUACCGGACUUCUAAAAUAAUGAAGUUACGGUGUACAUUUGGUUGGAGAGCCAUUUGAAGGGUUCCGGUGAAGUUCGGUGAAGUUCGGGAGAAUCCGGGCGAUUUGGUGUGCGUAGGCGCGGAAAGGGACCCGAAAGGUCAUGUCGGACCAUGAACUAAACCCGGCAUUAGCAGGGAUUAAAAGAUGAUAAAAACAUGCUCGAAAACAUGUUUGGGGAGUCUCGGUUCGAUUUGAAACGAAUCGGAGGUCAAACGAGCGAAAACGGAGCGAAAACGGACCCCGAAAGCUGAAAAAGCUGAAAAUUUGGCUAAGUCUGGAAUGCUGUUUUUCUGGACAUUCGGGGACCGGUCCCUCAAGUCUAGAGACCGGUCCCAGCACCCGAAAAUGGCCCAGUUUGGGCUGUGUGUGACUUAUAUUGUUGAGGGACCUUUGUGCAAUUGUGCCAAGGGUAUAGAGAGGGUUGGGGGCUCAUUUCCUCUCCUUCUCCCUCACACUUUGUAACCUAAACUCUCUCUCUCUCUCUAGAAAGAAAAGAAAGAGAAGAAGAAGAAGAGGAAAGGGAAGGAGAAGGUGGAGGAGAAGGCUUGGAGAAGGAGUUCUACUUCUUCUUCCUCCUCUUUUGGCCAUUGGAGAAGCUUGUUUGAGGUAAGCUUUACACCCUCUAAUGGUAGCUUCUAGUUUAUAAGUUUUUAAGCUCUAGAAAUGGGAUUUAAUGGUGAUUUAGAGAUUGUUAAUCUCAUUUGUUGCAAGAUCUAUAGCUUUAUGUUGCUCUUUGCAACAAUGAGGAGUUAGAGCUCCAAAUGAGAGCUUUAAUGGUAGAUCUCUAGGGCUUUAGUCUUAUGCUCUAGAGAUGGAUUUAGUAACCUUCCUAGAUGCUAAUUAGAUGGAUUAUGUUUAGAUCCAAAGUUCUAAUGGUGGGUUUUUGUCUAAUUGCGACCUAGGGCUCCAAAAUGGGGUUUUAGUAAAUCUUAGGUUAUGAUCUAUUUUGAGUGGUCAGAAACCUAAUUGCCAUGUCUCCGAACGCGUAGGAAGCGACGGUUCGUCGAUUCGUCGAGCGGGUGCGACGUUCCGGCUGAAACAAGUGCUAGAAGGUCCGUUUUGGCCCGAGGAGCCGAGGCGACGUGCGAAGACCACGAAGACAAGCUUUCUAACCUUUCGGCAUUACCAAAAGGUGGGGGAGUGCCAUCCCGAAGCAGUCGGGCUACUCUUUAUGUCUAAGUGCUAAGUUGACCUAAUUGCAUAUUGUGAUAUUGCAUUAUAGGGUGCUAAAUGUAAUUGUUACAUAUUCUUGCAUGCUAAUAGAAUAGUGUAGAGUUGAGUUGCUUAACACCUAAAUCUAGUAUGCAUGAGAUUAACGUCAAAUGACUUGAGACCCUAUAAUGAAGUGAUAGUUGAUAGGAAGUGAACCUGCUUAUGUGAAUGAGAAUUUAGUAUGGUAUAACUAAUGUUUGAGAACAACAAACUUGACGAGUGGCAUCUAGUUAACAAACUUGACGAGUGGCAUCUAGUUAAUGUUGAACUUAGGAGAGAACUAGUUCCCAAGUGAUGUUGUCUAGAGUGGUAGGGUAUCCUCAGUGACGGGGAUUUGACCAUACUUAUAUGUCUGUUCAAAGCUUGGUAUGGUCGCUCCACACAAGCAGUGCACUCCGGAGUCGUCACAUGAUAGGGAUAGCCGUUUGGUUCCCGAGGGAUAGCCGUUUGGGUCCCGCAGACAGUCUUGGGCGAGUGAGCUGAUCCUCCCCAGGUGAGUUGGGUGAGUGAGUUGAUCCUCACCCAUGAGUUGAGAUUGGGCUGUCGUACCUAUGUUGAGAGUCGGGCGAGUGAGCGGAUCCUCCCCGUUGUGUUUAGAUUGUGAGUCGGGCGAGUGAGCGGAUCCUCCCCGUUGUGUUUAGAUUGUGAGUCGGGCGAGUGAGCGGAUCCUCCCCGUUGUGUUUAGAGUGCGAGUCGGUGAGUGAGCGGAUCCUCACGUAUGUGACUGAGUAGACUAGCAUAGUAGUAUGAGAUAGGCUACCUAUUAUGUUGCAGUUUAUACAUGUAUUUUUGUUGAAAGCAUAGUAUCAUGAGAUAGGUUGCACAUUAUUAUGUAGUUCAUGCAUUCAUAGCAUUGGAUUGAGGCAUAGUUGGAUAUUAGCAUCGCUUUACAUUAUGCUUUAUCGUUAUUGCUUUCAUAUAUAUCUAUCUAUCUUUCCGUCUUCGUCUUCGUCUUCCUAUGCCUCCUUAGACCUAGUGGGGAGAUUGGCGGAGUCGGCGGCCGAACCCACUGGGAACUAUAUUCAUAUAGUUCUCACCCCGCGUGGUUUGGGGUACAGGUACACACGAGAGAGCUCCGGCCGAGGACCGCGGCAAGGGCUUAGCGCCCUAGUGUUGGUAGUAGUUACUUUCCUACUUGCAUUAGAGCUACCUAUACCUUUUGAGAGUAGAUGAUGUAUAGGUGUGAGGCUAUUUUGGAAAUUGUAAGCUUUAAGUUCAUGAUGUAUUUUGGAAGCUUUAAUUGUAAUUAAAUGUAUCAAAGUUGAAUGGAUGUAAUAGCUAGUUAUUUCUCUCUUUUAUUCACUUGUUCACUACUUGUGAUGCUUGCUCUUUAUAUGUUUGGCACUGGUUGUGCUCUCGCUAUUGUUGGAUUGUGUAUGUUAUCAAGUUGUUGUCCUGGGCACUUGUGUACACAAUCUCGUUGCUUAGCCGUGGGCGGACAGGGGAAGUGCUGUCCGUUCGGCGUCUGUCCGACGCGCCCGAACCGGCCAAAGUGGUAGCGGUUUCGGGGCGUGACAGUUAUGGUAUCAGAGCGAGUUAAGAGCAAGCAAAGAGAGAGUCUAGGACUGACCUAGGAGACCCUAGGACGGUAAACCGUAAGGUUAUAGGUGUGUGAGUGGAACGUGAACUUAUGACAGCGGCGGAAGUUAAUUAAUUGGGUCGAAGUUGGUGUUGAGACUCUAGUAGUUGCUAGAGACGAUUCAAGUAGUACUAGUUCUUGACUUAAGGUGGUUGUGUUGGCGGCCGACAACACGACGCCGAGAGUCAAGGAUGAGUACGCUUGUGAACUUCCGCCUGAUUUGUGUUGUUGAGUCAUUUUAUCGCGUAAUUGCGAGAGGUUGUUGGGUUGAGGUGAUUAACCGAUUUAUUGCGUUUCAGGAGCUAAUGUCCCCGAGACGCUACGCACGUAGAUCCGUUCCGGCACCGCCCCCUGAGGUGCCAAAGCCUCCUGGGGCGCCAGGGCCAGCUGGGCCUAGUGAGGUGCAGGAAUUGCCGGCGCAGGUGACCGCACUAGCUGGUCAAGUUGGGCGGCUCCAGGAUUUGAUGGAGCGGCAGAUAGCAGCAGUGGCUGCGAUGGCGGCUGGAGGUCGUGACCCGCCCGCACCCUCGGCUCGCGUCCCUAAUGCGACUGAGAGUGAGGGUGUUCCAGCGGCGCCGGUGGCGGCGCAACCCCCGCCGGCAAGUGUUCCUCCAGCGGCAUCGAGUUCUGCGACACUCGGUGCGGCGGCCGAGGAGAUACAGCGAGAGCGUGGCUACACGGCUCUCACAAGGUUUACAAAGUUCCACCCGCCUACGUUCGAUGGAGAAGUGAUAGAUCCUUGGACGGUGGAGACAUGGUUGGCCUCGAUGGAGACCCUGUUCGAGGANUCAUAAAAUGAAAAUGCAUGCAUAUUCAUGCUAGAUAGAUUAAUUGUGAAUUUUAGAAUGCUUAAAAUACGCACGUUAUGUAUAAUGCAUUUUCGAACCUCUAUGUAGUAGAGAGCUUGCAUGUGAGACUUGUGCAUGGGUUUAGCAUUCUAAUUGGGACUUGGAAUCAUGCUUCUUGUAGUAGUUAUGACAAAUAUAAUGUGCCUUGGAUAUAAACCUCAUUGGGACUAGGAGAAUAUUUUGGGCCAUAAAGUGGCUUUAGAUUUGAAUAUCUUGUGAGGUAGGAAGCUAAUGUUGUAAUGCGGCGUCGGGCUCGAACUAUGACUGAGCCUAGCAAGUAAUGCCAUAGAGAGGCAUUAGACUCGAGCGAUAUAUAAAUUGCAUGUGCAUGUUAAUAUUAUGGAAAUUAUGUUAAGUUGGUUGUUACAUCGAAAUCAUAUGCUAGUGGAUAGAUGCAUGUUUAUACUUAUACGCAUUGUGGGAUCCAGGCUAGGCACAUAUUAGCAAUGUGAGAUCAUGCUUGGGAGCACCGUGCAUUAACCUAGAACGGGUAUAUUAAGCUAAUGUCAUAAAGAGGCAUUAGGCUUAGGUUUGGUAUAGUAAGCUAAUGUCAUAAAGAGGCAUUAGGCUUGUGAUACGUAUGGACUUAGUCAAGCUAAGGUCACAUGAGACAUUGAAUUAUUGAACGGUUAAACCUUCACUUGAGGCAUAAACUAGACACUAGGGUUACUAGUGUGCAUUUCCAUGUUAGAGACAUGAUGACUGUUGAGUUGCAUUUCCAUGUUGGAGACAUGACGAUUGGACUAUUGAGGUCUUGACCAUGCUUGCUUGCCAUUUGUGCUCAUUCGCACAUGCUUGUGAGGGUUGCUCCCCACAAGCCGGCACUCCGGAGUUAGCCUACGCGACAUAUGCUCGCUCGUGCGGUAUUGAAAAGCCUACGGGGUCGAGUAGGACAGACACAUUCCAAGAGCAGGAAUGUUGGGCUACCACAGGCACUUAGGCGGCACAAGCCGGACUACACCCUUGUAGAUCCUGAAUGAGAUUGAACCAGAAUACUAAACAACAAGUUGACAAUCACUACUAGAUAGGUUAUAGUAGUUGGAUUUUCUUGACAUGCUUGGCGUAGGGUUUGACUUUUGGGAUAUUUAGUGUACUUGACAUUAUCGCUUAUUACAUUGUAGUACACCUUGCUGCCAUGAUAGUACAUACUAGAUAUGUAGUGGGCUCUGGAAUAUAUAUCACACUUUAUAGCAUUACUUGUUACAUCAUGAUACAUUGUUUAAGUUUUGGGCAUAUUGGAUCAUGUAGAGUAGAUGUACUCCAUGUUGACAUUCAGAAUACUUGUGGCAUAGUAGAGUAGCAUUUUAAUUUCAUGCUUCAAUUACUGUUGAUAUUUNNNNNNNNNNNNUGGGUGAUCCAGAUAGGUCCGUAUUCAUAAAGUUCCUUACUUAUCAUUGGUCACGAUUACGUAGAUUAUGAUACGGACGUUUCCUUACAGUCACCUAUAUACAUAAGUAGUUAUAUAUCAUACGUACGUACGAACAAGAAAUGGUAGGGAAACAGAAAGACAUGGGUUAGAAUGGCCAAUUGAUACAAUUGGGGUUAUCGAGUGGUAAGGUAAAGGGUAGAUGGCCCCCUCCGAAAUUCGUGUUGGCGGGCUCCCUAGCAGCUGCCCCAUGAAGGGGCAACCACAGAUGUGAAGCUUCAUGUGGCGAACUCCUCCUCGCUGGAGGAGUUCAGAUUCAGGUGCACUCGGAGCUAGGCUAGGAGAUCAACUCCUAUGUUUCGGUGAUCAAUGUUACGGUGAAGAUAUUAUCCAAAGGAUGGAUAAACAAGUACAGUGAAAGACCAGUAAAAGCAGUUACCGUUAGAACAGAGAUAUCAGUUACAGUGGAAACAAAUGAUACCAGUUCAGGUUCAGAGUGUAAGUGUGUAGAGAGCCCAAGUUAGUAUGUACAGGUAAAGCCAAGAACAAGUUAGUGAUAUAGGUAGAUGUAUUCUUCGUAUUAUAACUUCAAGAUCAGAGAUCAGUGUACAUUCUAAAGGGAUGAUACGUACUUACCGAUAUAUUAUUUUACGAGUUGUUUUCACUUUGUCUGUAUCUUCCCUUAGGUUGCUAAGGCCGCACGUGGGGGGUGGAGAUUAUUAGCACACCCACACCUUACACUGCUGGGGGCUUGAAAUGCUUUCGGCUAAGGCGCGGGAUAUUGGUUUUAUCACGGUAUAAUCCGGAAAACAUGUACUUGAUAUAAUAUUGUAAAAGCAUUACAGUUUGCCUCAACAGGGUGCGCAAAUCCCGUGGGGGUUAAUCCAAAGAUGUGCCAGUUAAGCAGGGGCUUUUUAGGAUCCCGUUUUCGGGGUUAAGGGUUCGGGAUUGUUACGGUAAAUCCCAAAGAGAACCUAACUAGAGUAACAAUUCGUUUUCUACCGAAUCUUAGUAGGUUCUUCGUAGGAUGAUUCCAAAGAUUUGGAAACCUUAGUUGGGAUCCCGAAGAUUGGGUUGAAAGUUCCUAAGUGGUACUCUCGUGGAACUCGAGAGUACACAUGGUACCGUAGGUACCGAGUUUUCUCGGAGAUUUCAGAGAUUCCUCGUGUUUCGAGGUUUGGGAAUUCGGUUUUAGGUUUUGGAUCUCCUUUUGAACGUUCUUGAGUGGAGAUCAGGUUCGAGGUGGUUCUGAGAAGAACAACCUCUCGAGGAUCUUGGAGGUUUUGUGGUUUAGGUGGAAGAAGAGGUUUAAGAAGAAGAAGAAGAGGUUCAAGAUCUCCUCAAGAUCUCUCUCUUUCUCUCUUUUACUCUCUCCUCCUCUCUUUACCGACACCCUCUCUCUCCUACCGGGUAUAUUUCACAACAUUGUUAACGUGAAUUCGGGGAGGUGAAUAAAGGGUACUAGACGGGUCUGACCCGUAAAAAGCGGAAGCCCCUGGCCAGAGGUGCUGGUCCCUGGCCAAGGGCUUGCACCCCAAAAGUCCUGAAUCGGUUUAAAAGCCCAAAAAGUCGACGACGCAUCACUCCCUGUCCAGACGGAGAGGUCCUGGCCAGAGGGCUCCUGGCCAGAGUGGUGGUCCCUGGCCUACGGAGUCCUAAAGGACCGUCCGAUGCGCGUGCCCCUGGCCAGAGAGGAAGUCCCUGGCCAGGGGCUCUCGAGCUUUAGACCCUGAAUCGGUCUAAAAGUCUAAACGAGAGAGCCCAAGGAAAUCGAAGUAAAUACCUGAGAUUACGUGGAUCCCAGGUACGAUUGAGCGAGGUGAGGCCCAAGGUGAGUAAAGCUGCCUUGAGCCGUGCUAAAUGCUCCCUGCACCAUACAAUGUGGCUCGGAGAGGGCCUCACCUUCCGAGACUUUCUUUUGUAUUUUGUCCCCCGCACUCUUGAUAUUUAAUAUCAAGGGUCACCCGUUAAUGACUGGACGUAAGUCGGCGAGGUCGGAUGCCGAACCCACUGGGAACUUCGUUGUAGUUCUCACACCACUAACCCUACAGGUCCAAGCACGAGCGGGGCGGCGGAGGACCGAGGCAACGGUAUAGCGCCGUAGAUAGCGGCCACCGGGACUUUUCCUAUUUUGUAGCCAUUUCCCUUUAAUAUAUGCAUCAACUUUAUUUUGUUGAGUUAGAAAGUUGUAAAGUUGAAAACAAUAUGUAAUUGGUGAAUGGCUAAGUGUAAAGAAUUAUGAACGAAAGCAUGAAAUGUAACAAUUUAGUUUCCUUGUAUUUGGUGCAAAAGCAAUCAAGUAUUAUUUAUGGGUAAAUAUAUUAGCUUAGAGCUUUCGCUUCUGUUGUUGCUUGCCCUCGUGCAAGCCUUGUAUAAAUGCUAAUCUCAUUGUUUGAUUGCUUUACUAUACAUGGUUUAGAGCCUUGGACGGACAGGGGAGGCUCUGUCCGUUCAGCGUCUGUUGACGUGACCCGAACCCGACCAAAUUGGCGGGGAUUGGGGCGUGACACUCGGGAUCGCGGGAAAGGUUUCGCCUCGAGUUAGCUAUCGAGGGACUUGGUGAUAGGUGGUCCACCUCUCUUUUGUUUUCUUUUGUAGAGGUUAUGAGAGUUUUGUACCUGGUUAUAGAGACCACCCUAUUUUUGUAUCUUGAGAUUUAUGAUGUAUCAGUUUACUUUAUGCUUUAGUAGUAUGAUUUUCUUUUGAUUCUACCUGAUGUUAGAACCUAGCUAUAUACUUGCUCUGAUAUCUCUAGUUGCAGAUCUUCUCAUUCUUUAUUCUUCCGCUUUUGUGUAGACGCCUUAUAUGUGUAAACAUAUGGCGGGUCUGGGCGCGCACCGGGCAGGCCUAUGCCGUGUCCCGGGGCGUGACAGAUUAAUUUGGUAUCAGAGCCUAGGGUUGAGUCUUAGUGGACCUAGCGAACCUUAGGCCGGUUGGACUAUAGGAAUUAGACUCGUGAGAGACGAAGGCUAUUUAAUUUAUGAGCGAAAGUAUCAUGAUUGGGUUUCCUUGAUAACUCCAAAAUGUUGGAGUUGAAUCGAAGUGUAUGGCUUCUAACUUCGUGGAGGGUUACGUUGGCGGCCGACGACGUAACAUCAGGAGUUAGUAGUUGGGACACUUCUUUACUUUCGCAUGAUUUGGAGUGUGGUUAUUUGAGCGGGGUUGCGAUAGCGUGGGUUAUAUUAACUUGCGCUUUUAUGAUGUUGUAGUGUUGAUGCCGACUACACGCUCUAAGUCUGUUAGAGCGGAAGAUGCGGCGACUUUUGAGGAAGCGGAGACAUCCGCUACCUCCCGAUCCGGUGAGGUCCGUGAGUUGAGGAGCCAACUUGCCGCCCUCACCGAUUUGGUGACGCAGCAGGCGGCGGCGGCCCAGCAGCAGGCGGACACGGCACGACGGCAGGAGGCACGGAUGCAGCGCCUGGAGGACCUUCUAUUACAGCAGGCAGCUGCUAGGGAGGCUCAGGUCUCGGUACUACCCGCGCCAGUGGAGACAGUUGCACCCGGGGGGGGUCGUCCCCUGUAUUCGACACUUCGCAGACGACACUUACGGUAGCCCAUCGGGAGGAGGUAUUGGCAGCACCACCAGCUCAGUUGCCUGUGGCAGCGGCGACUUUUCCCUUGAUGGUUGAAAGAGCGGAGCGGCAGCGGCUCAUGGAUCGCCUCGAUGAGUUCAGGAGGUGCGAUCCCAGGAUCUUUGAUGGAGAGAAAGCCGACCACCGGAUCGUUGAGAAGUGGUUGAUGCAUGNGGUAUCAGAGCCUAGGGUUGAGUCUUAGUGGACCUAGCGAACCUUAGGCCGGUUGGACUAUAGGAAUUAGACUCGUGAGAGACGAGGUCUAUUUGAUUUAUGAGCGAAAGUAUCAUGAUUGGGUUUCUUUGAUAACUCCAAAAAGGUUGGAGUUCGAUCGAAGUGUAUGGCUUCUAACUUCGCGGAGGGUUACGUUGGCGGCCGACAACGUAACAUCGGGAGUUAGUAGUUGGGACACUUCCUUACUUUCGCAUGAUUUGGGGUAUUAGCAUUUGAGCGGGGUUGCGAUAGCGUGGGUUGUGUUAACUUGCGCUUUCAUGUUGUUGUAGUGUCGAUGCCGACUACACGCUCUAAGUCUGUUGGAGCGGACGAUGCGGCAACUUUUGAGGAAGCGGAGACAUUCGCUACCUCCGGAUCCGGUGAGGUCCGUGAGUUGAGGAGCCAGCUUGCGGCCUGUCACGCCCGGGUACCAGCGGAAGCAUAUCCGGCACGUGCACAGACCCGCCAUACACCUGCAGUAUAUAAGGCGUCUACAAGAAGCAAGUCGAUAGGAAGUAAAACAAGAGAGUCCUAUCCUGAUAUCAGAGCAAAGUACAAGACGAUAUACCACGAGUAUCCAAUCCGAGUCAAUAUACAAAGAGUAUACAAUCCACAAUCUCAGCAAAAAGGAGAAGUAACACCACUACAAUCUCAACCCGAAAGUAAAAAUACAACAGAGGGUAUACAAAAAGAAUAGGCACAACGGUGGUCUCUCUAUACAUAGGGACAUCACCCUCGGCUGAAGUCCGAGUAACAAGGUGAUGACUAGCACGCUCCUAGUAGUCCCUAGCUAGGCGCGACUCCCUUGCCACGAUCCCUAGCCUCUCCUGUAACAGGCUCUGUAAAAACAACCACCAAAAGGGCGUGAGAACUAUAAACAAUAGUUCCCAGUGGGUAAGCCGCCAGCCUCGGCGAAUUACACCACUAGGCUCAUGAUGUACUAAAUGGAAAUAAAAGCAGUAAUUUGCAUGAUAUACUUUCAAUGCUAACAACUAAAGAACAUAUAAUCAUAGUCUCAACAGUAAUGAAUCAACUGAUUAAUAGAAGCAUAGCAACUACUAUAAGCAUGAACAAAAGCAUAAAUGUGUAAGUAACUACUGUACACUGUAACUGGUAAUCAUUCAUUACUGUCCAAUAUCCUUUAGCACUUUCCUUUCAUUCACAGGGAUCUACUCAAGGUAGUCCAGCUUGCGCCGCGCCUAAUGGCCCCGUGGUAGUAUACACUCCCCACGGCAAUCCACUUCGGCACCCAAUCCCGCACGGGCGAGCAACUGUCGCGUAGGCCAACUCCGGAGUGCCGG
rnacentral:lncRNA from 1 species